GACGAACGCUGGCGGCGUGCUUAACACAUGCAAGUCGAACGGAAAGGCCCUGCUUGCAGGGUACUCGAGUGGCGAACGGGUGAGUAACACGUGGGUGAUCUGCCCUGCACUUCGGGAUAAGCCCGGGAAACUGGGUCUAAUACCGGAUAGGAGCCAUUUUUAGUGUGAUGGUUGGAAAGUUUUUUCGGUGUAGGAUGAGCUCGCGGCCUAUCAGCUUGUUGGUGGGGUAAGGGUCUACCAAGGCGGCGACGCGUAGCCGGCCUGGGAGGGUGGACGGCCACAGUGAGACUGGGAUACGGCCCAGACUCCGACGCGUGGGAGAGGUGGCGGAUAUUGAACAAGGGGAGCGAGCCUGAUGCAGCGACGCCGCGGGGGGGAGGACGGCCUUGGGGUUGGAGACUUCAUUCGCUAGGGACGAAGCUUUUUGUGACGGUACCUAGAUAAGAAGCACCGGCUAACUACGUG
rnacentral:rRNA from 1 species